rnacentral:sRNA from 1 species
UUCGUCACCGGGAUACUCCUCCCAAGCCCGGUAUAUGAGUGCAGCAAUUCCUCCUCCCAACGCUGCAUUCGGAAUUAAAGGGCUGCGCACCUCCUCCCGCGCAGCCUUUUUUCU